AACGAACGCUGGCGGCAUGCCUAACACAUGCAAGUCGAACGAGAUCUUCGGGUCUAGUGGCGCACGGGUGCGUAACGCGUGGGAAUCUGCCCUUUGGUUCGGAAUAACAGUUGGAAACGACUGCUAAUACCGGAUGAUGACGAAAGUCCAAAGAUUUAUCGCCAGAGGAUGAGCCCGCGUAGGAUUAGUUAGUUGGUGUGGUAAAGGCGCACCAAGGAGACGAUCCUUAGCUGGUCUGAGAGGAUGAUCAGCCACACUGGGACUGAGACACGGACCACAAUACUACGGGAGGCAGCAGUGGGGAAUAUUGGACAAAGUGCGGAAGCCUGAUCCUGCAAUGCCGCGUGGGUGAUGAAGACCUUAGGGUUGUAAAGCUCUUUUACCCGGGAUGAUAAUGACGGUACCGCGAGAAUAAGCUCCGGCUAACUCCUUGCCAGCAGCCGCCGCGG
rnacentral:rRNA from 1 species